CCCCAGAGCCUAACUAACCUGGCCUCCCAGAGCCUAAACUGUCUUUCAGAGUCUAACUGUCUCCCAGAGCCUGUCUCCCAGAGCCUGUCUCCCAGAGCCUGUCUCCCAGAGCCUAAACUGUCUUUCUGAGUCCAACUAACUGUCUCCCAGAGCCUAAACUGAGUCCAACUAACUGUCUCCCAGAGCCUAACUAACUGCCUCCGAGAGCCUAAACUGUCAGCUCUGCAGGGUACUGUUCCCCGCCACCUUCAAAGCCAACUCAGCACGAUUCACCUGGGAUGAGAGGAGUGGAGCGGUGUCAAAACACAGGGGAGCUUCUCCUGCACUCAACAGGCCAAGCCCAGACAGAACAUCAGUCAACUGAGGCAUGAGAAGGUUUCUGAUGUGAGGUGGGUACCACAGGACAACCACAAAAUCCUCCCGAGGCUUGGAUCAGGUCAGCACCAAGCAGGGUCCUGUGAAGUGUGCAGAGCCUGCUAGCCCUUCGCCUUCAUACUGCAUUCCGUCAGGAGGGGGACUUGGAGGGUUAAGCCACAUGUUCGGACGGGAGCUGAGGAAGGGGCGUAGCUGCAACUGAUGCCAAGCUCUUUCUCCAAGCCUGGGACCCUAACCAUGAAGCGGGAAGAACCGUUAGAAUCUGCCGUUAUAAACGUCUUACAAAACAUGUACAAGAAAAGAUUUGGCCACCCCGCAGCUCCUUGA
rnacentral:lncRNA from 1 species